CCUACGGGAGGCAGCAGCGAGGGAUCUUGGGCAAUGGGCGAAAGCCUGACCCAGCGACGCCGCGUGGGGGAAGAAGGCCUUCGGGUUGUAAACCCCUUUUUGCCGGGGAAGAAGAUCUGACGGUACCCGGCGAAUAAGCCACGGCUAACUACGUGCCAGCAGCCGCGGUAAUACGUAGGUGGCGAGCGUUGUCCGGAUUUACUGGGCGUAAAGGGCGCGUAGGCGGCCCGUUAAGUCUGGUGUGAAAUCUCCCGGCUCAACCGGGAGGGGUCAUCGGAUACUGGCGGGCUCGAGGGGGGUAGAGGAAGGUGGAAUUCCCGGUGUAGCGGUGAAAUGCGUAGAUAUCGGGAGGAACAGCCGUGGCGAAGGCGGCCUCCUGGGCCUACCCUGACGCUGAGGCGCGAAAGCGUGGGGAGCAAACCGGAUUAGAUCCCCGG
rnacentral:rRNA from 1 species